rnacentral:lncRNA from 1 species
AUGACAAACCCCAGGAGACCUCGGCUGGGCGUCGGUCAGCUGACCCAUCGCCGUCCACACGGUCCCCUCCGCACCCCAAGCCGCGGCCCCCGCCCGCUAAGUCACAGGAGCGGCUCCCAGAAUCCACGCAGCACCACGCACGAGCACGCUGUUGGCCAAGGGAAGCAAAGCAAGCAUCACACGGCGCCCCUGGUGACUCUCCUCUUGGCCACAACGAAAAGGCAACUAUCACUUGGUGUGGAGGGUUUUCCACCCACGUGUUUAGCAAGCAUGAGGCUGGACACGGCAGCACACCCAGAUACCGGCGUCCCAGGCGCCCCGUACUGGAGCCUGAGGAAAGCGAGUCAGGGCCCCGCACCUGCCUUGCAGCCCUGUCUCCACUCGCGAGAACCGCUUCAAGUGGCUUCCUCACGCGGGGCCUGGAGCGCCUGCUUGCGAGGACGCUGUACCCCACGAAGGAGGUGGGAUGGGGUCUCGAUGUCUCAUGCAGUGGAGCGCCCGGACCCCAGAAAACUCUCCGGGAAGUUCGGCCAAGAGCUACCCAAAACCCGAGGAAAAAACCUGAUUCUCCUUGGGGAAUACCAACUUUACUCAAAGUGCUCGUCCCCUGGUGCGCACCGAGUUUCUCCAGGGUACGGACCUGACUCGAGAGCACGUACACGUGGUCAGCUCUCCUGGGCCGUGCCACCGCGCCCGUGGACAAUGAGCUCUUCAGCCGCCUUUCCAGCCUCUCCCAAAUCACAGGCGUGCUUGUGUCGCUAA